rfam:Myotis davidii contig72486, whole genome shotgun sequence.
GAGACACCCCUAUGGUGCAGAACUUGCUUCAGUGGGGCUUUGGUGCUCACUGAGUCUGCCCCUUGAAUGUGUCACU